GCUGGGCGCAGUGGCACACGCCUGUAAUCCCAGCAACUCCGGAAGCUGAGGCAGAAGGAUCACUUCAAAGCCAGCUUCAGCAACAGUGAGGCUGUAAGCAACUCAGUGAGACCCUGUGUCUA
rnacentral:sRNA from 1 species